UGGUUUUGGAGCUUCUCAGAGUACAGUUGUUUGGCCUCUUUCACUGCCUUGCCAAACUUGUACUUUGCCUCUCUGUAUAUGUCUUUGUCCCCACUCUUGAAGGCCUCUUCCUUAUCAGCAGCACUGCUCUCCAUUUACCUAGACUUUGUUAAUAUUUUUGUUGGGGCUUGGGAAUAUCCUGUCCACCAGAGGUCUCCCUCGAGCCGCUAUGUGUACUCCUUCCACAGGUGUCCCUGAUCUUCAUCUGAUUGUGGAUGCCUUGGAGGAGUACUUAGGAGCCAAGCCACCAGUUCUUCGACGCCAGAGUGUUUUACCCAUGUGGUAAAUCCCUAGCCGAAGUAAUUCUUGCUUGACACUACUGUGUUUUCUAACCAGUACCUGUUUUCCUUGCUUCCUUUUAGUACCUGUGAGGUGUGGACGUAUUCACUUAUCCGGAACCAUGUUCUAACCUAGAUAUCAUACCUACUGUUUGACCUUGGAUCUCCUUCAUCUUUUGCUGUUUGGUUUGGCUCCCUAAGACCCCUGGACUCCUGGAUUCCCAACCUCCACUGUAACCUCCUGGAACUGUUUACCUGCCUGGAACCCAAGAAGCCAAGAAGCCUUUGUGCCCUCCCGUGGUUGACUGACCUGAGAAAGACCUGAACUUAAGUUUGUGCUGUAAAAAUAAUCCUUUUUCUAAAGAACUAUUUUGCUCCUGAGUGAGGUUUUGCAUGUGGGUCAGACAUUUACCUAAAGCGAUGACAAUUUUGUCAGGUGCAUCACAGAUGACAAGUAAUUAUGUGUCUCGGGCAUUAAGAAUGUGGCAGCAGAAAUUAGAUUGGAAUGGCAUGAGACAUAAGCUACAGCAUUGAUGUAAAUUUAUACAGGUCUUCAGAUUGACUGUUCAGAUUAUACUAAAAAAAUUAUGUACCCUCUGCAAUGUCAGCCACUGGUUUAUGAAAUGUCUUUUUUAACACUUCUGUUAGGGUUAAAACUUUUUUUGUACAUUUUCUUUUAUCUUCCCCCAGAUUAUAAUCUUCUCCUAGCAUAUGGCACAUAUUAACAAAAGGUCUAUCCUAACGUAGAAUAUAUUUUGUACAAACUGCAAAAACACUUAUGUACCUUUUGGACUGUGAAACUUUGAGAAAAACAUAAUUACGAAUUUCA